rnacentral:rRNA from 1 species
UUAAGCGACUAAGCGUACACGGUGGAUGCCCUGGCAGUCAGAGGCGAUGAAGGACGUGCUAAUCUGCGAAAAGCGUCGGUAAGGUGAUAUGAACCGUUAUAACCGGCGAUGUCCGAAUGGGGAAACCCAGUGCAAUUCGUUGCACUAUCGUUAACUGAAUACAUAGGUUAACGAGGCGAACCGGGGGAACUGAAACAUCUAAGUACCCCGAGGAAAAGAAAUCAACCGAGAUUCCCCCAGUAGCGGCGAGCGAACGGGGAGCAGCCCAGAGUCUGAAUCAGCUUGUGUGUUAGUGGAACGGUCUGGAAAGUCCGACGGUACAGGGUGAUAGUCCCGUACACCAAAAUGCACAGGUUGUGAACUCGAAGAGUAGGGCGGGACACGUGGUAUCCUGUCUGAAUAUGGGGGGACCAUCCUCCAAGGCUAAAUACUCCUGACUGACCGAUAGUGAACCAGUACCGUGAGGGAAAGGCGAAAAGAACCCCGGCGAGGGGAGUGAAAAAGAACCUGAAACCGUGUACGUACAAGCAGUGGGAGCACCUUCGGGUGUGACUGCGUACCUUUUGUAUAAUGGGUCAGCGACUUAUAUUCUGUAGCAAGGUUAACCGUAUAGGGGAGCCGCAGGGAAACCGAGUCUUAACUGGGCGUUAAGUUGCAGGGUAUAGACCCGAAACCCGGUGAUCUAGCCAUGGGCAGGUUGAAGGUUGGGUAACACUAACUGGAGGACCGAACCGACUAAUGUUGAAAAAUUAGCGGAUGACUUGUGGCUGGGGGUGAAAGGCCAAUCAAACCGGGAGAUAGCUGGUUCUCCCCGAAAGCUAUUUAGGUAGCGCCUCGUGAAUUCAUCUUCGGGGGUAGAGCACUGUUUCGGCUAGGGGGUCAUCCCGACUUACCAACCCGAUGCAAACUACGAAUACCGAAGAAUGUUAUCACGGGAGACACACGGCGGGUGCUAACGUCCGUCGUGAAGAGGGAAACAACCCAGACCGCCAGCUAAGGUCCCAAAGUCAUGGUUAAGUGGGAAACGAUGUGGGAAGGCACAGACAGCCAGGAUGUUGGCUUAGAAGCAGCCAUCAUUUAAAGAAAGCGUAAUAGCUCACUGGUCGAGUCGGCCUGCGCGGAAGAUGUAACGGGGCUAAACCAUGCACCGAAGCUGCGGCAGCGACACUAUGUGUUGUUGGGUAGGGGAGCGUUCUGUAAGCCUGCGAAGGUGACCUGUGAGGGUUGCUGGAGGUAUCAGAAGUGCGAAUGCUGACAUAAGUAACGAUAAAGCGGGUGAAAAGCCCGCUCGCCGGAAGACCAAGGGUUCCUGUCCAACGUUAAUCGGGGCAGGGUGAGUCGACCCCUAAGGCGAGGCCGAAAGGCGUAGUCGAUGGGAAACAGGUUAAUAUUCCUGUACUUGGUGUUACUGCGAAGGGGGGACGGAGAAGGCUAUGUUAGCCGGGCGACGGUUGUCCCGGUUUAAGCAUGUAGGCUGNNNNUCCAGGCAAAUCCGGAUAAUCAAGGCUGAGGUGUGAUGACGAGGCACUACGGUGCUGAAGUAACAAAUGCCCUGCUUCCAGGAAAAGCCUCUAAGCAUCAGGUAACAUCAAAUCGUACCCCAAACCGACACAGGUGGUCAGGUAGAGAAUACCAAGGCGCUUGAGAGAACUCGGGUGAAGGAACUAGGCAAAAUGGUGCCGUAACUUCGGGAGAAGGCACGCUGGUGUGUAGGUGAAGCCCCUGCGGGUGGAGCUGAGACCAGUCGAAGAUACCAGCUGGCUGCAACUGUUUAUUAAAAACACAGCACUGUGCAAACACGAAAGUGGACGUAUACGGUGUGACGCCUGCCCGGUGCCGGAAGGUUAAUUGAUGGGGUUAUCCGUAAGGAGAAGCUCUUGAUCGAAGCCCCGGUAAACGGCGGCCGUAACUAUAACGGUCCUAAGGUAGCGAAAUUCCUUGUCGGGUAAGUUCCGACCUGCACGAAUGGCGUAAUGAUGGCCAGGCUGUCUCCACCCGAGACUCAGUGAAAUUGAACUCGCUGUGAAGAUGCAGUGUACCCGCGGCAAGACGGAAAGACCCCGUGAACCUUUACUAUAGCUUGACACUGAACAUUGAGCCUUGAUGUGUAGGAUAGGUGGGAGGCUUUGAAGCGUGGACGCCAGUCUGCGUGGAGCCAACCUUGAAAUACCACCCUUUAAUGUUUGAUGUUCUAACGUUGGCCCCUGACCGGGGUUGCGGACAGUGUCUGGUGGGUAGUUUGACUGGGGCGGUCUCCUCCCAAAGCGUAACGGAGGAGCACGAAGGUUAGCUAAUCCUGGUCGGACAUCAGGAGGUUAGUGCAAUGGCAUAAGCUAGCUUGACUGCGAGCGUGACGGCGCGAGCAGGUGCGAAAGCAGGUCAUAGUGAUCCGGUGGUUCUGAAUGGAAGGGCCAUCGCUCAACGGAUAAAAGGUACUCCGGGGAUAACAGGCUGAUACCGCCCAAGAGUUCAUAUCGACGGCGGUGUUUGGCACCUCGAUGUCGGCUCAUCACAUCCUGGGGCUGAAGUAGGUCCCAAGGGUAUGGCUGUUCGCCAUUUAAAGUGGUACGCGAGCUGGGUUUAGAACGUCGUGAGACAGUUCGGUCCCUAUCUGCCGUGGGCGCUGGAGAAUUGAGGGGGGCUGCUCCUAGUACGAGAGGACCGGAGUGGACGCAUCACUGGUGUUCGGGUUGUCAUGCCAAUGGCACUGCCCGGUAGCUAAAUGCGGAAGAGAUAAGUGCUGAAAGCAUCUAAGCACGAAACUUGCCCCGAGAUGAGUUCUCCCUGAGACUUUAAGUCUCCUGAAGGAACGUUGAAGACGACGACGUUGAUAGGCCGGGUGUGUAAGCGCAGCGAUGCGUUGAGCUAACCGGUACUAAUGAACCGUGAGGCUUAACCUU